rnacentral:rRNA from 1 species
AUUGAACGCUGGCGGAAUGCUUUACACAUGCAAGUCGAACGGCAGCACGGACUUCGGUCUGGUGGCGAGUGGCGAACGGGUGAGUAACAUAUCGGAACGUAUCCAAUAAUGGGGGAUAACGAGUCGAAAGAUUCGCUAAUACCGCAUACGCCCUACGGGGGAAAGCUGGGGACCUUCGGGCCUGGCGUUAAUGGAGCGGCCGAUAUCUGAUUAGCUAGUUGGUGAGGUAAAGGCUCACCAAGGCGACGAUCAGUAGCUGUUCUGAGAGGACGACCAGCCACACUGGAACUAGGACACGGUACAGACUCCUACGGGAGGCAGCAGUGGGGAAUUUUGGAAAAUGGGCGCAAGCCUGAUCCAGCCAUUCCGCGUGAGUGAAGAAGGCAUUCGGGUUGUAAGGCUCUUUCGCAAGGGAAGAAAACUUAGCCACUAACAUUGGUUGAGGUUGACGGUACCUUGAUAAGAAGCACCGGCUAACUACGUGCCAGCCGCCGCCGUAA